AGUCCAAGAGGAGGAAGCAGAGAAUAAUGCUGGAGGGUGCUUGAGGAGUCCUGGGAAGUGAGAGUGGAAUCAGCCACAGACCAGAAAGAAGUGGCCUAGGAUUUCUAUCCCAAUGGGAUAGGUGAACGGUGAUGUCCAUCUCUCCAGCCUUUUACAACUCAAAGUUAGUCCUGGGACCAACAGUAUCAGCAUCACCCGGGAGCCAGUUAGAAAAGCAGAAGCUCAGCCCUGCCCAGACCUGCUGAGUCAGAACCUGCUCUCUAACAGGAUUUUCCUGAGUGCUUCACGUGCCUGUUGGGGAAGUUUCGCUCUGGAUCUCUCUCUGCCAUCCACAGAUAAACCAUCGAGACUCUGAACGUCAAGUACGUUGUCCAAGGCCACAAAGCAGUGAGAUUCAGAUUCAGGCCUGUCUGACUCCAGAGCGUGUGCUUUUGCCCUUCUUCCAUCCUGCUGCCAUGCUGCCCCUCCAAGCCAUCAGCCGUGGGAGGUGAUGAGAUGUUCUGCCCCACUGAACACUCUUACUUCCUUGCUCCUUUCCCUACAUUUGAGGCUGAUGGAAAGAAAUGGACCAUAGGGUCAUUUUUGCAGCCCCCAUGUCCUCGCCUUUCCCUCUUAGUCCCCUCAUGAUCCUCCCACAACUGAUAUCCAGAGCAGAAAUCUCACAAAGACAUCACCUCAAAGGGGAGAAGGAAGGGGGGAUGUCCAAAUUAGGGG